AGAUGAUCUUUAAAGGCCACUUCCAACUCAGAAGUUCUAUGAUUCUCUCCUUGGUGUGCCAGAGGACACAACCGCUAGGGGCAUUUCCAUAUGUCUAUGCGUCCUCCCAAGGAUUGGGUCAUGUAUUGCUGUUCUUAUGGCAUCUCUGGCAGAAACAAAUUUACAUUAUCUCAGAGCUGAGAUCCCAGUCUAUCAAGAACUUUCACUGACCCUGCUAGACACUAAGGAAAAAUCCAUCAAGAGGACAGUGAAGAAUGAAGCAUAUGUAAGAAGAAGUUACAUAAGCUUCAUAGGGAUUGCAAGUGGAAGUUCUGAGCAACACAAAUUUGAAACUGGCCAUAAAUCUUGCAGGAUGGAAAAUCCAAGCAAAAUUUCCAGAACAUUCUUCUUCCACUUAGGGAAAAAAUUACCCGUUGUUUAUGUUCAGCGUUUCUCUGAAAAUACCAAGAUUUUCAUCAAAAUACGUAAUUGUAACUAA
rnacentral:lncRNA from 1 species